UGCCAGCCGCCGCUGUAAUACUGAGUGUGCAAUCGUUAUCCGGAUUUAUUGGGUUUAAAGGGUACGUAGGCGGCAGAGUCAGUCAGUGGUGAAAGCCAACAGCUUAACUGUUGAACUGCCAUUGAUACUGCUUUGCUUGAGUACAGUCGAGGUAGGCGGAAUUCCACAUGUAGUGGUGAAAUGCAUAGAUAUGUGGAGGAACGCCGAUAACGAAGGUAGCUUACUAGGCUGUUACUGACGCUGAGGUACGAAAGCGUGGGGAGCAAACGGGAUUAGAUA
rnacentral:rRNA from 1 species